rnacentral:lncRNA from 1 species
UUGCCUUUAGCGUCUGCUACGGUAUAAAUACUUUACAUUCAAGUCUUUCAAGUCUCUAAAAUACAUGAUCACAUAAUGCCUCACAUUAGGUCAUAUAUAAUCAAGUAUGUAUAUGACUAUCUUACCCUUCAUCUCAAUCUAAUUGUAUAUUAGAUUCGUUUACUAUUCAUUCCGGUUUGUCAUUAUACUUACAUUUACAUUUGACUAGG